UGAGGAAUAUUGGUCAAUGGGCGGAAAGCCUGAACCAGCCAUGCCGCGUGCAGGAUGACGGCCCUAGGGGUUGUAAACUGCUUUUCUUCAGGAAGAAUAAAGGUACUACGUGUAGAUCGAUGACUGGUACUGUAGGAAUAAGCAUCGGCUAACUCCGUGC
rnacentral:rRNA from 1 species